rnacentral:rRNA from 1 species
AGAGUUUGAUCAUGGCUCAGGAUCAACGCUGGCGGCGUGCCUAAUGCAUGCAAGUCGAGCGCGGGCUUCUUCGGGAGUGCUGCGCGGCGGACGGGUGCGUAACACGUGGGCAACCUGCCCUGGGGUGGGGGAUAGCCGUGGGAAACCGCGGGUAAUUCCGCAUACGUUGCGGCUUCGAUCGGGAGCGGCAAGAAAGGGAGCAAUCCCGCCCUUGGAGGGGCCUGCGGCCGAUUAGCUGGUUGGUGGGGUAAUGGCUUACCAAGGCGAUGAUCGGUAGCUGGUCUGAGAGGAUGGCCAGCCACAUUGGGACUGAGACACGGCCCAGACUCCUACGGGAGGCAGCAGUGGGGAAUUGUUCGCAAUGGGCGCAAGCCUGACGACGCAACGCCGCGUGGAGGAUGAAGACCUUCGGGUCGUAAACCCCUUUCGAUCGAGACGAAUGGCCUCCGGGUGAACAGCCCGGGGGAGUGACGGUACCGAGAGAAGAAGCCCCGGCUAACUACGUGCCAGCAGCCGCGGUAAUACGUAGGGGGCUAGCGUUGUCCGGAAUCAUUGGGCGUAAAGCGCGUGUAGGCGGUUCGGUAAGUCCGCUGUGAAAGUCGGGGGCUCAACCCUCGAAAGCCGGUGGAUACUGUCGGGCUAGAGUACGGAAGAGGCGAGUGGAAUUCCUGGUGUAGCGGUGAAAUGCGCAGAUAUCAGGAGGAACACCAAUUGCGAAGGCAGCUCGCUGGGACGUUACUGACGCUGAGACGCGAAAGCGUGGGGAGCAAACAGGAUUAGAUACCCCAGUAGUCC